rnacentral:rRNA from 1 species
UACGUAGGGCGCAAGCGUUAUCCGGAAUUAUUGGGCGUAAAGAGCUCGUAGGCGGUUUGUCGCGUCUGCCGUGAAAGUCCGGGGCUCAACUCCGGAUCUGCGGUGGGUACGGGCAGACUAGAGUGAUGUAGGGGAGACUGGAAUUCCUGGUGUAGCGGUGAAAUGCGCAGAUAUCAGGAGGAACACCGAUGGCGAAGGCAGGUCUCUGGGCAUUAACUGACGCUGAGGAGCGAAAGCAUGGGGAGCGGACAGG